UACGUAGGGUGCAAGCGUUAAUCGGAAUUACUGGGCGUAAAGCGUGCGCAGGCGGUUUUGUAAGUCUGUCGUGAAAGCCCCGGGCUCAACCUGGGAAUUGCGAUGGAGACUGCAAGGCUUGAAUCUGGCAGAGGGGGGUAGAAUUCCACGUGUAGCAGUGAAAUGCGUAGAGAUGUGGAGGAACUCCGAUGGCGAAGGCAGCCCCCUGGGUCAAGAUUGACGCUCAUGCACGAAAGCGUGGGGAGCAAACAGG
rnacentral:rRNA from 1 species